GUAGUCAUAUGCUUGUCUCAAAGAUUAAGCCAUGCAGGUCUAAGUGCACACGGACGGUACAGUGAAACUGCGAAUGGCUCAUUAAAUCAGUUAUGGUUCCUUUGAUCGCUCCACACGUUACUCGGAUAACUGUGGUAAUUCCAGAGCUAAUACAUGCAAACGAGCGCUGACCCUCCUCUCCCUCUCGGGGGAGCGGGGGGGAUGCGUGCAUUUAUCAGACCCAAAACCCAUCCGGGGGGUCUUGGGCCCCCCGGCCGCUUUGGUGACUCUAGAUAACCUCGGGCCGAUCGCGCGCCCUCCGCGGCGGCGACGUCUCAUUCGAAUGUCUGCCCCUAUCAACUUUUCGAUGG
rnacentral:rRNA from 1 species